rnacentral:misc_RNA from 1 species
ACUGAUCGGGCCAUGAGACACCAGUUGCUAAACGAGAAGCUAAGCAAAGGCACCGAUCAGUAUUCGAGACGGUAUAGGUUGACGAUUGUUGGGAUACGAGUUGGGUCUCGAGACGGUAUUCGAGACCUGUGUGGGUUUAAGAUGCACGAUGUGGGUUUAUCGAUGAUUGAUGUGCCUUGAACGGCCUAUUGAUCCAUGUCUGUAUUAUGCUAGUUGCGCAAGCUGCGGCCAAUGACUAGAUGUUAGUACGACAUGGCUCAAUAGGCGUGUUUCGAGGUGUUUUGUUUUUAAUUUUUCGUUUGUUACUUUCGCAUCGUUCGGUGCAUUCUGGGGGCCAUUUUGGCUUUUGGUUGCUUGCUUGGCCUUUUGGUUGGGUGGGUCGCUACUAGUCGGGUGGCUUUCGGGAAUGUCGACCGGGAAGGUGCAUGAGUGGUGAUUGGUUUGUUACGUGUGGUUGGCUGUUUGCUUGCGCAACAACGUCCAUGCUGCUUACCUCUUCAGUUUUGCGGCAAGACUCGGUUUGUCUUGAGCGUAUUGUGGGUUUCAUGUGUUGCAUACCUAAUUGAUGGUAACGUGUGGGUUUUAUGAUUUUCCUUUUCGUCAUGCGUCGUUCAUGCGGCGUGGGAUGAACAAUGAAACGGUCUUUGUGAUCCACCGUGUUGUUGCAUUUGCAACAAUGAGGUGGCUUAUGAAGCAUCGUUUGGUCUCUUGUAUAUGGAACCUGAUGUGGGCUUGGGUCUUUCUAAGAUCUUCAUUUUGCCCUCGUUAAGUGUUUUUGCUUCUCCAAAACGAUUGCCUGCCAUGUUUUGGCUUGUCCUUGCAUGGUGGGCUACGUUGAAGAGGAAUGC